CACACUCGUUUCUACCGUAAUCCGUCAAUUUGCCAUUUCAUUCUCGUCAUCCACAAACACGUGGCGGUGAAUGUGAGGAAGAUGAAGAAGCCGUGUGCAAUUUGAGUGUGUUUUACGAUCAUUUUAUU
ensembl:ncRNA H14A12.9 ncRNA